rnacentral:rRNA from 1 species
GGGUUGUGAGGUUAAGCGACUAAGCGUACACGGUGGAUGCCCUGGCAGUCAGAGGCGAUGAAGGACGUGCUAAUCUGCGAAAAGCGCCGGCGAGGUGAUAUGAACCUUUGACCCGGCGAUGUCCGAAUGGGGAAACCCAGUGUGAUUCGUCACACUAUCGUUAACUGAAUACAUAGGUUAACGAGGCGAACCGGGGGAACUGAAACAUCUAAGUACCCCGAGGAAAAGAAAUCAACCGAGAUUCCCCCAGUAGCGGCGAGCGAACGGGGAGCAGCCCAGAGUCUGAAUCAGCUUGUGUGUUAGUGGAAGCGUCUGGAAAGUCGCACGGUACAGGGUGACAGUCCCGUACACGAAAGCACACAGGUUGUGAACUCGAAGAGUAGGGCGGGACACGUGGUAUCCUGUCUGAAUAUGGGGGGACCAUCCUCCAAGGCUAAAUACUCCUGACUGACCGAUAGUGAACCAGUACCGUGAGGGAAAGGCGAAAAGAACCCCGGCGAGGGGAGUGAAAAAGAACCUGAAACCGUGUACGUACAAGCAGUGGGAGCACCUUCGUGGUGUGACUGCGUACCUUUUGUAUAAUGGGUCAGCGACUUAUAUUCUGUAGCAAGGUUAACCGUAUAGGGGAGCCGAAGGGAAACCGAGUCUUAACUGGGCGUUAAGUUGCAGGGUAUAGACCCGAAACCCGGUGAUCUAGCCAUGGGCAGGUUGAAGGUUGGGUAACACUAACUGGAGGACCGAACCGACUAAUGUUGAAAAAUUAGCGGAUGACUUGUGGCUGGGGGUGAAAGGCCAAUCAAACCGGGAGAUAGCUGGUUCUCCCCGAAAGCUAUUUAGGUAGCGCCUCGUGAACUCAUCUUCGGGGGUAGAGCACUGUUUCGGCUAGGGGGCCAUCCCGGCUUACCAACCCGAUGCAAACUACGAAUACCGAAGAAUGUUAUCACGGGAGACACACGGCGGGUGCUAACGUCCGUCGUGAAGAGGGAAACAACCCAGACCGCCAGCUAAGGUCCCAAAGUCAUGGUUAAGUGGGAAACGAUGUGGGAAGGCACAGACAGCCAGGAUGUUGGCUUAGAAGCAGCCAUCAUUUAAAGAAAGCGUAAUAGCUCACUGGUCGAGUCGGCCUGCGCGGAAGAUGUAACGGGGCUAAACCAUGCACCGAAGCUGCGGCAGCGACGCUUAUGCGUUGUUGGGUAGGGGAGCGUUCUGUAAGCCGUUGAAGGUGGCCUGUGAGGGUUGCUGGAGGUAUCAGAAGUGCGAAUGCUGACAUAAGUAACGAUAAAGCGGGUGAAAAGCCCGCUCGCCGGAAGACCAAGGGUUCCUGUCCAACGUUAAUCGGGGCAGGGUGAGUCGACCCCUAAGGCGAGGCCGAAAGGCGUAGUCGAUGGGAAACAGGUUAAUAUUCCUGUACUUGGUGUUGCUGCGAAGGGGGGACGGAGAAGGCUAUGUUAGCCGGGCGACGGUUGUCCCGGUUUAAGCAUGUAGGCGGAGGUUCCAGGUAAAUCCGGUACCUUUUAACGCUGAGGUGUGAUGACGAGGCACUACGGUGCUGAAGUAACAAAUGCCCUGCUUCCAGGAAAAGCCUCUAAGCAUCAGGUAACACGAAAUCGUACCCCAAACCGACACAGGUGGUCAGGUAGAGAAUACCAAGGCGCUUGAGAGAACUCGGGUGAAGGAACUAGGCAAAAUGGUGCCGUAACUUCGGGAGAAGGCACGCUGAUAUGUAGGUGAAGCCCCUGCGGGUGGAGCUGAAAUCAGUCGAAGAUACCAGCUGGCUGCAACUGUUUAUUAAAAACACAGCACUGUGCAAACACGAAAGUGGACGUAUACGGUGUGACGCCUGCCCGGUGCCGGAAGGUUAAUUGAUGGGGUUAGCGGCAACGCGAAGCUCUUGAUCGAAGCCCCGGUAAACGGCGGCCGUAACUAUAACGGUCCUAAGGUAGCGAAAUUCCUUGUCGGGUAAGUUCCGACCUGCACGAAUGGCGUAAUGAUGGCCAGGCUGUCUCCACCCGAGACUCAGUGAAAUUGAACUCGCUGUGAAGAUGCAGUGUACCCGCGGCAAGACGGAAAGACCCCGUGAACCUUUACUAUAGCUUGACACUGAACACUGGUCCUUGAUGUGUAGGAUAGGUGGGAGGCUUUGAAGCGUGGACGCCAGUCUGCGUGGAGCCGUCCUUGAAAUACCACCCUUUAAUGGCUGGUGUUCUAACGUAGACCCGUGAUCCGGGUUGCGGACAGUGUCUGGUGGGUAGUUUGACUGGGGCGGUCUCCUCCCAAAGAGUAACGGAGGAGCACGAAGGUUAGCUAAUCCUGGUCGGACAUCAGGAGGUUAGUGCAAUGGCAUAAGCUAGCUUGACUGCGAGAGUGACGGCUCGAGCAGGUGCGAAAGCAGGUCAUAGUGAUCCGGUGGUUCUGAAUGGAAGGGCCAUCGCUCAACGGAUAAAAGGUACUCCGGGGAUAACAGGCUGAUACCGCCCAAGAGUUCAUAUCGACGGCGGUGUUUGGCACCUCGAUGUCGGCUCAUCACAUCCUGGGGCUGAAGUAGGUCCCAAGGGUAUGGCUGUUCGCCAUUUAAAGUGGUACGCGAGCUGGGUUUAGAACGUCGUGAGACAGUUCGGUCCCUAUCUGCCGUGGGCGCUGGAGAAUUGAGGGGGGCUGCUCCUAGUACGAGAGGACCGGAGUGGACGCAUCACUGGUGUUCGGGUUGUCAUGCCAAUGGCACUGCCCGGUAGCUAAAUGCGGAAAAGAUAAGUGCUGAAAGCAUCUAAGCACGAAACUUGCCCCGAGAUGAGUUCUCCCUGACCCUUUAAGGGUCCUGAAGGAACGUUGAAGACGACGACGUUGAUAGGUCGGGUGUGUAAGCGCAGCGAUGCGUUGAGCUAACCGAUACUAAUGAACCGUGAGGCUUAACCUUACAACGCCGAAGCUGUU